rnacentral:tRNA from 1 species
GCCUGGGUGGCUCAGUUGGUUAAGCUCCUGGCUUCAGCUCAGGUCAUGAUCUCACGGUUUGUGGGUUGGAGCCCCACAUCAGGCU